CUCCCGCCGGCGACCGGCGCACGGGUGAGUAACACGUAUGAAACCUGCCCGUAGCAGGGGGAUAACCCGGAGAAAUCCGGACUAAUACCGCGUGGUACACCAGUGGGGCAUCCCACUGGUGUUAAAAGGAAGUGAUUCCGGCGGAGGAUGGGCAUGCGGCGCAUUAGCUUGUUGGCGGGGUAACGGCCCACCAAGGCAACGAUGCGUAGGGGUUCUGAGAGGAAGGUCCCCCACACUGGUACUGAGACACGGACCAGACUCCUACGGGAGGCAGCAG
rnacentral:rRNA from 1 species